UGACCAGGACGUGCUUCUCCUCUGCAUUGAACCUUCAAGCAGCAUGCAUGAGCCAUGGGGUGUGUGGGCGUUCUUCACUCCCCGCCAAUGAAGACCUUGACGGUGGAGUGGAGCAACGUUAUGGGAUUCGGCCCGAACCAACCGAAUUUCGUCCAAUUCGGUGAGACCCGAGAUAAAUCCAAACCGGCCAAAUAAUUUCGGCCCAGUUUGAAUUUCCAGCCCAU
rnacentral:lncRNA from 1 species